rnacentral:tRNA from 1 species
GGCUGGAUGGUGUAGUUGGUUAUCACGUAUCGCUCACAUAAUCGGCCAACUGUCGCAAGCGACGUUGACUCAUCGCCGAAAUGUGCCGAUAAGGUCCUGGGAUCGAACCCCAGUCUAGUCA